AGGCACAUGCGCCACUUUCGGAACUUCACGACAUAGAAUUUCACACUUCGCAACAGGACCUGCAAAUACCGUUUCAGAUGUUUCUCAAUAAACUAAGCGCAACUUCGAUCGGUUUUAGCGCCAUGGGUUUGUUCACUAUUGACAAGCCCACCAUUUUGACGAUUGUCGGCAUGUUCCUGACGUAUUUUUUCCUGAUGGUUCAGUUCAAACCGUCAACAGAGGACGCAACUGCAGUGAACUCUACCAGUACUGGAUAGAACAGCCACGAAGUUUA